rnacentral:rRNA from 1 species
UACGUAGGUCCCAAGCGUUAUCCGGAAUUACUGGGUGUAAAGCGUCUGUAGGCGGACGAGUAAGUUUUGUAUGAAAGACCAGGGCUCAACCCUGUGUUUGUGCAAAAAACUGCUUGUCUAGAAUUAGGGAGAGGUAAUCGGAAUGGUAAGAGUAGAGGUGCAAUUCGUAGAUACUUACCAGAACACCAAAAGCGAAGGCAGAUUACUGGAACUAUAUUGACGCUGAGAGACGAAAGCGUGGGGAUCAAACAGG